rnacentral:misc_RNA from 1 species
UCCGGUUUGGCACCGGCAGUCCUCCCAGAGUCCCCGCCUUGACGCGCUGGCAACUGGGAGCGGGGGUUGCGCUCGUUGCGGGACUUAACCCAACAUCUCACGACACGAGCUGACGACAGCCAUGCAGCACCUGUGUCCAGGUUCCCUUUCGGGCACCCCUCCAUCUCUGGAGGGUUCCUGGCAUGUCAAGGGUAGGUAAGGUUUUUCGCGUUGCAUCGAAUUAAUCCACAUAAUCCACCGCUUGUGCGGGUCCCCGCCAAUUCCUUUGAGUUUCAAUCUUGCGAUCGUACUUCCCAGGUGGGAUACUUAAUGCUUUCGCUCAGACACCAACAGUGUAUCGCGUAUGUCGAGUAUCCAUAGUUUAGGGCGUGGACUAC